ensembl:lncRNA
AGGAAGAGGAGCCUCAGGAAGAUGCAGGGACUCUCUGGGCAUCACAGUGGCAGCCGGCAAAAGCCCAAAGCCCAUCCUCUCCCUCCUACUCGGCUCAGAUGCGCGGGAGCGGGGUGGAGGCCCAGACUUGGCUUUUACCAAGCAGGCCCCUGCCCGCCGCAGACCGUCCACACAGUCAGCCAUUGGAAGCAAGUCAUGCCAGGGAAAUGUUAUCAGUGCCUACCCACAGAUGAAGAAACUCAGGCUCAGAAGAGCUAGGCAAUUCUACCCAAGGCCACACAGCACCAAGCAGGACCAAGAGACUUCGAAUGCAGGUCAGUCUAAAUCAAGAACCCAUGCCUCUUCCGCUACCCAGAGCCAAGGAGGAAACAUCACAGACAUUAUCAGGUACCUUUCUUUGGGCUUAACUUGAAGCAGCUUCCAAAGCAAGCUGCUACUGCUUCUAGGAAGCAAGGGCCAAGUGGGAUAGAGCUGGGGGCCUCCAGUUCUCUGGGCAUGACAACGAACAGGGUGGUGGUGGUGGAGUCAGAGGGUUACUGGGAGCAAUCCCAGGACUGGCCAGCUGGGCUGAGGUGUGGGCAUCAGCAUGAUUGCUGGACAAGUUCCCAGGGGCACAGCAGGUAAGCAGCAUUCACUGCCAAGCUCCAAAAGAUCCAAGGAUUUCAAAUCUUAUUAUCUGGGCACCUUAUAAAGAGGCCAGUGAUUCCAGGCUUGGUAGGGGAAGAUUUGAUUAAAAUAGGACUCUAGCAAAGCCAUGUAGGUUGAUUAUGUGGACAAACUUGUUUGGGUUUGAAGUGUCUCCCCCCACCACCAUAGGGUUACUGAAAAAUGCGAAGCAAGUUAAUUUAUUUAAACAGAAUGGCACAUGGAACAUAGUGCUUCUAUAAAUUGAGGUUGCUGUCUUUAUUCAUCUGCCAGCAGAACUUAGCAAAGGCCUAUACCCUUAGAAUUGUUAUCAAGUGUUCAGGCCCUACUAAGGGCCCAAGUGAGGCUAAACUGGACGAGUCUAAAGAUACUAUUGCUCCUUUGGAAAAAGUCCUUAUUGUGUUCUGAGUAAGGCUUGCAGGUCAGCAGGUGAGAGAGUGAGAUCUUCUAUCCCGUCCAGUCAAAUAGUGACCUCUAGAGGCGAUAGUACUUAUUACUACCUUGUACUGCAAACUGAAAGGCUCCUGCCUGGAAAGAACAGAUUGUCAGAGGAUGGGAACUAACCACGAGGGAGAGAGGUUGUCCUGGACAGCUGUUCUGGAAAUUGCAGCCAGAAAGCACUAAGAACUGGCAGUAUAGUUAUCUUGACCUUCAAAGGUCACUUUAUCCCCUCUAAAGCCAGUACUGUUGAGAAAGUCCAAAAGCUUCUUGUUUUAUACUUCUAGAGAAUGUGCAAAUGGUAGAAUCUUUAGGAAAAUCACAUGUGUGAAGUCUUAAAAUGUUCAGCUCAAAAGACACAUGAGCUAGCUUAAGGGGGCUCCCACUGCCCACAUUUGGGAUAGUUUGAGCAACAAAAUAAAUGAUAGUAAUGGAUUUUAACCCACAAAGUGAGUCCAUACUGAUAUACAGUGAAAUUCCAACUAAUUUAUGGAGAAGGAAUGGUAGAAUUAGUUACUUUCAAUAAAUGUUUCUUGCAAAAAUCACCAAUGGAUGCUAAAAUUAGUAGGUAGAAUUACAGUGAAAAAUAUGUAAUCUUAAAGUAUCUUAUUAAUUACAAAGGUAAAAAUAGUGACAUUUAAGUAGAGAAGACUGGCAGACACCACCUUAACCAGUGAUUAAAGUUAAUAGAAUCAGUAAUGAGACAAAUCAACAUCAUGUGCCUCCUGACAGGAAGCAACGAGGACACAACCUCACUUCUGUUGUAUUCCUGGCCCAAACACAAAACCCAAAUCUCACCACAAAGGAAUGGAGGGACAACCAAAUCUCACCACAAGGAAAUGGGGGGACAAACCCCAAUUAGGGGACAUGCUACAAAACCACUCUUGACACCGAGGGAAAGGAGGACAAGAACCUUGCUGUGAUGGAUUAAAUCAGAGAUUUCAUACAAAAAGAUAUAGAAGCAAUGACACUCCAGUAGCCAGAAUUUGAUUUAGUAUGGGCUAAAAAGAACCCAUGCUUCUCAGAGAAGUAGCUCAUUCCCAGGAUGAUGCAGAGAAAGCAUCCGUGAGCCUGGAUAAUCUUGUAUGAGAAAGUAAUGCAAUGCCCCCAACUUAAAUCUUAAAAAAAUCUCCUUAGAGGUUUCAAAUUUAUCAAACUGUAAUUUUGGGAAAAAUAUCCCCCAAACAAAUGAAAAAAAAAAUGUCAAAGUGAUGACAGACAGUCCAAGGAACUAUUACAGAAGCAGGGAGAUCAAGGCAUUCUGUGAUUCUAGAUUGGAUCCAGGACCAGGAAAAGGGCACUAGCAGGAAAACCGGCACUAUUUGAAAAAGAUCAGCAGGUUCUAAUUUGAGGUCAUUUAUGCUCAUUUCCUGACUUUGAUAAUUGUGGGUAAGAUAAAUGUCCUUGUUUUUAAGGGCAUAUGCACCGAACUAGAUACAGGAACACGAUGCCUGCAACCACUUUCUCUCCAGUACAUCAGAAAAUCUGUCCCAAGGAGUUCCCGCGUCGUGGCUCAGCAGAAACAGAUCUGACUAGCAUCCAUGAGGACACAGGUUCCAUCCCUGGCCUCACUCAGUGCAUUACGGAUACAGAGUUGCUGUGAGCUGUGGUAUAGGUCACAGAUGCAGCUUGGAUCCCAAGUUGCUGGGGCUGCAGCUGUGGUCAGCUGUUACAGCUUCAACUCAACCCCUACCCUGGGAACCUCCAUAUGUCACAGGUGUGGCCCUAAAGAG